rnacentral:tRNA from 1 species
CAAAAAAUAGUUUAUUUAAAAUGCUAGUUUUGGAGACUAGGGACGAGAGUUCUCUCUCUUUUUUGA